rnacentral:rRNA from 1 species
AGAGUUUGAUCAUGGCUCAGAACGAACGCUGGCGGCGUGCCUAACACAUGCAAGUCGAACGGAGUUGAGGGGCUUGCUCCUCAAUUUAGUGGCGCACGGGUGAGUAACGCGUAGAUAAUCUGCCUGGUGAUUUGGGAUAACACUUCGAAAGGGGUGCUAAUACCGAAUAAGCCCACGGAGUCCUUGGACUCUGCGGGAAAAGGGGGGACCUUCGGGCCUUCCGUCUCCAGAUGAGUCUGCGUACCAUUAGCUAGUUGGUAGGGUAAAGGCCUACCAAGGCGACGAUGGUUAGCUGGUCUGAGAGGAUGAUCAGCCACACUGGAACUGAGACACGGUCCAGACUCCUACGGGAGGCAGCAGUGGGGAAUUUUGCGCAAUGGGGGAAACCCUGACGCAGCAACGCCGCGUGAGUGAUGAAGGCCCUUGGGUCGUAAAGCUCUGACAGAGGGAAAGAAGUGUAUUGUGGCUAAUAUCCGCGAUACUUGACGGUACCCUCAAAGGAAGCACCGGCUAACUCCGUGCCAGCAGCCGCGGUAAUACGGAGGGUGCAAGCGUUGUUCGGAUUUAUUGGGCGUAAAGCGCGUGUAGGCGGUUUUAUAAGUCUGAUGUGAAAGCCCCGGGCUCAACCUGGGAAGUGCAUUGGAUACUGUAAGACUUGAAUACGGGAGAGGGCAGUGGAAUUCCUGGUGUAGGAGUGAAAUCCGUAGAUAUCAGGAGGAACACCGGUGGCGAAGGCGGCUGCCUGGACCGAUAUUGACGCUGAGACGCGAAAGCGUGGGUAGCAAACAGGAUUAGAUACCCUGGUAGUCCACGCCGUAAACGAUGAGUACUAGGUGUUGCGGGUAUUGACCCCUGCAGUGCCGCAGCUACGCAUUAAGUACUCCGCCUGGGAAGUACGGUCGCAAGACUAAACUCAAAGGAAUUGACGG